AUGAAGUCUACAGUGCGAGAUGAAAUGGUGGAUUCGUCCGAGUGUCUGCGGCAGUACGGGCUGUACCGGCUCCACAGCCACAUGGUCCUGCUGACCCGGUCACGGGAGGGCCCGCUGGAGCCCCCGCCCGAGCCCACCCCGGUCCCCCGCUGGAAGCUGGUGCGGCCCCGCGUGAAAGACCACUCCCUGGCCACGGACGAACCCAGAGUGCCCCCCGUGCCGAAGCUGGACCGCUUUGUGGAGGUCUUCAGCCCCCUCGCUUCCUACCAGCCCAGCGGCAGCAGCGGCCGGCCCCACCCACCGCAGGACGGCAGGCAGAGUAACCCCAGAGGGUUCUCCACCUGCAACUCGGCCCUGUCAUCCUUCACUGAGGCUGGGGUGCAGGAGAUCCAGCAGGAGAGCUCUGAUCCCAGAUCAGCUGAAUCACCCAGCAACCCUGCUAACAACCAGGUUACUGCAGAGGACGGCAAGAAGGACGGCGUCGCCACGACCAAUGGUAUAAGCCUUUCUGUUCCCUAAAGCUUGUCAGCCAUUGAUACGCGCACAAUGGGGCCUAAUAAUGGCAUGCACGGCUCUCCGAGACGCCACACAAACAUUGACUCAGCCAGGGCCACACGGUAGCCGAGCCCUGCUGCUUCUCAUUCAUUCCACGCUAUGUCUGUGAUAAAUAAAUGGAAAUAAUAACAAUUAGAAUUACUGCUUCAGCAUAGCAGGGUGAGGCUGUACCCAUUUGACAAGAAGAUAACAGCCUAUCCCCCCCCCCUUCUCCUCUGUUUGGCCAACCGGUUGGUUCUGAGGCUCUUUGAAGAUGCUUGUGGAAUUAGGCCUGGGGAGAACCAGCCAAUUACCUGCCUUCUGCAACCCCCCCUCCCCGUUUAGUUGCUUAGUAACACCUGCGAGUGGAGCGAGAAGACCACCAUUGCUCAGCAGCAGAAUAGCUGGCCCCCCGGUCGCCUAGGCUCCAUGAUCAGACGGUCUCUCUCUCUCACUCUCGCCCUCGCUCUGUUUGGAGUGGAGCGCUCGGGGGCAGAGUGAGCUGGUGGGUGUGUAUAUUUUUGGGUUCAUUUAUUUAUUUAUUUAUUUAUUUAUAUAUUUGGUAUCUUUUGUCCCUUUUUUUUCUGGGAGAUAGAGGAGGAGGUCGGGGGGCUAGCCUGUGUGUUUGUGUGCCAUGAAUGUGUGUGUGUGUGUGUGUGUGUGUGUGUGUGUGUGUGCGUGUGUGUGUGUGUGUGUCUGUGUCUGUGUCUGUGUCUGUGUGCAGUGCAUGACGGCUGUGGGUGUUUGGUGAGUAGGAGUGUGCGCGCGUGCGUGAGCGCUUGCUUAGACUAUGCCAUUAUGUGGGAGUUUGGCCAUUUCAAAUCAACAUGUUUAAGAUAAGGAUUUGAGUCUUCGAUAACUUGCAGUGAGUCACGAGAGGAAAAGGCACUGCUGCCCACAGCAUAAAAAGAUAUCACACUCCAUAUAUACAUCCAGUAUGUAUAUAAACAAAUAAAUAAAUAAGUAUGGUUUCUUUAUCAUGCUUUAAUUUGAUAAAAAAACACGCUAGAGAACCCCCCAUUUCCUUAAUUGCCAUACGCCGAGUUAUUUUAGUGAGAAAUAUACAAUACGAUAUACAACAAUAGUAUAGGUAGGUUGCUUUGAGAUUAAGGAUAAUUCUUGGUUGAAUGAAAAAUGAUCGGACCAAGCGGUAGGAAAUUGUGAAUUAAAGAUGAACUAAAAUAAAACCUUGCAGUUGCGGUACCAGAAAGGCAAUGCCGGUAGCAGUAAAAGUCAAUGACCUAUGGUAACCGCAGAGAUUGUUUCUGAAAGGCAGGGUACCAACUAAGUGCAGUGUCGGUAACGGCAAACCGAGAUGUAUCAGACCUUCUUUUAUUUCCAAAGGGCAUGGCCGACAGUCAUAAGAAUGCAAUGCGCAACCAGCAAGACCGAUGGCCUGGUAAGUGAGUGUGUUGUUGUGGUCCCUCAGAGCAGCACGGGGCCGAGACAACGGGGGGGCCACAGGUAGAGCGACCCACUGCGAGGCCCACCCCGCUGCUGGCUGAAGCCCUCUCUGCUCCUCCUCACGUACCACCAC
rnacentral:lncRNA from 1 species